rnacentral:rRNA from 1 species
GAUGAACGCUGGCGGCGUGCCUAAUACAUGCAAGUCGAGCGAACAGACGAGGAGCUUGCUCCUCUGACGUUAGCGGCGGACGGGUGAGUAACACGUGGAUAACCUACCUAUAAGACUGGGAUAACUUCGGGAAACCGGAGCUAAUACCGGAUAAUAUAUUGAACCGCAUGGUUCAAUAGUGAAAGACGGUUUUGCUGUCACUUAUAGAUGGAUCCGCGCCGCAUUAGCUAGUUGGUAAGGUAACGGCUUACCAAGGCAACGAUGCGUAGCCGACCUGAGAGGGUGAUCGGCCACACUGGAACUGAGACACGGUCCAGACUCCUACGGGAGGCAGCAGUAGGGAAUCUUCCGCAAUGGGCGAAAGCCUGACGGAGCAACGCCGCGUGAGUGAUGAAGGUCUUCGGACCGUAAAACUCUGUUAUUAGGGAAGAACAAAUGUGUAAGUAAAUAUGCACGUCUUGACGGUACCUAAUCAGAAAGCCACGGCUAACUACGUG